CUAAAAUCUGGUAUAGAUUUAUGGGAUGUUAGAAAUAUUUUAGACCAAUCUGCCUCUCUCAUCUCUAUUGGAAGAUCUCUGGACCAUGCUGUAGGAAAUCCAGGAAGAGCAGAUGUAGAAGUGUCUUGAAUUAUUGUAUGUAUUUUUGAUAGUAGGUGAGCUGGUAGACAGGGCGAUAUGCAUAUGUUUUUUAAAGGAAUUACAUCUCUAACAUUGCUCAUUGCUCCAUGAAUUCAAGAAUGUAUCAGUUGAUGGAUUUGAAACUUUUCCAAAACAUUAGGUUUUCUGGGAAACGUCAUAUAUUCUAGAGGCGAGAGAACCCCAGUCUUCUUUACCACUUGUCUUAGGUGUAAAUUUGUAGUCUGUUUUAUUUUUUAUAAAACUAGGUAUUUGUACUGUGCAGUAUGGAUUAUGAUUGUUAGGAUAUAAUAGUGUAUUUGGAGAUGAGAGACCUCAGCCGUAUGUGAAUGGACUAUCCAGAAUUUAACACAAAUUAUCAAGUGACUGUGUGAUUUUAAAUACUGCUAAAUUUGUCAUUUUGUGGCAGUGGAACUUGGAAGGUAUGGAGGUUUGCACUGGUAAUCUGUCCUGUGGUGUACUGUAAUUGCCAAUUUUUUUACUAUAUGGUGCUUGAUGCUUGAAGGCUCUAGCUAAAAGUUUUCACAUUUGUUGCCAGCCAUGUACAUAAUAGGAUCGCUUAACUAGCAAUAACUGUCUCUGUGACUUGUAUUCCAGUAGCUGUAGGAGUUCUUAUCUGGUGUCUGUGAAGAGUUUAAAGUGAUCAAGUGUUUUUGAAUAGACUUCCUAGUCUCUGUAUUUCUCUGAAUAAUUUGUUGAUUGUAGCAUUGUUUUCUUAUUCAUAAAGUCUCUUUAUUUUAUGAGCUUUCCACAGCAGUGUUUUUGAUGUUUCUGGUGUAUCAGUGUCAGAAAAAUAAGUGUUCAUUUUGUUCAGUAAUUCUGCUUGGUUUUGAUUAUUCGUUAGCAAAUAUUUAUUUAACUUCCAUUGAAGGUUUGGGGAAGUAGUAAUCUGCAGAUUUUUAGUGACGAUUGCUGGGGUUAACACUUACCAGGCAAUAUAACUUAAAGUAUAGGUAGAUAUAACAAUAGCAAAGAAAAAAAGUAUUUCGAAGCUCAUAAAAAUUAACCCUGGAUAGGGUGUUGACUCCGCCACCAGUGGACCUAUUGUGCUGAUAUAAUAAAGGCUUGAUGUUGGGAGGAAAAGGAAUGACUGUCUAUGACUGUGGAGUCUAUACAGUAAUCUAAGACCAUAUUUCAACCCUUCCAAAAGUUAGAAAGUCAUCUAUAAAUUGACAUAUUGCCUUUUAUCAUUAUGAAGAACCAAUGUGGGUUGGCUUUGUGUGAGACAUUAACAAACAGAAAAAGCUAUAACAUUUUCCACCGUUGCAGAUUUAAUUUUAGAAUAGUUGCUAAAAUAUCCUAAUGAAGGAUUACCUUUGCAAUGCAAUAUUUGUCUAUCAAUACAGUAAGCAUUUAUAAAAAAAAAAACAAAACAAACACAUCUGGAAAUCAGGUUUGUGUUAUAACCUUCACAUGCAUACCUAGACUAAUAAAAAGUGGGGUCCAUUUUUGUUUCACUUUAUAUUGCAGCUGGAAAGAAUGUCCCACAUUUUUAAUAUGUGGGUAGUACUGGAUAAGACAUUUAAUUCUCAAACCUGGGGCCCAUUAAGAAGUAAAAAUGAAAUGGUGGGCAGAAAGAGUAGAAAAAAUAUAAACCAACUAUAGGGAAGAAAGAUACAGAGAAGGCAUAUGUUCAUCAUGAAGAAUGUAUAGUGUUCUCCUAUCUGCAGAUAUUGCAGUUGAGAUAUCAUGUAAAAUGUCUCAGGAGUGUAUUGAGUGUCCAAUAUAUGGUGUUAAUUUUCUUGUCAAAUAGCUGAGUCUAUUAUUAUUAUUGCCAUUAAUAUAGCGCCAACAGAUUCCGUAGUGUCUUACAAUAUUAUGAGAGGGGGAUGUAACUAUAAAUAGGACAAUUACAAGAAAACUUGCAGGAACAAUAGGUUGAAGAGGACCCUGCUCAAACGAGCUUACAGUCUAUAGGAGGUGGGGUAUAAAACACAUUAGGAUAGGAAAUAGCAAUCAAAUAAGGCGGGAGUGAAGCAGGGCUGGAGGAGAGAGUAAAGUGCUGCCCUAUAGGAAAGAGCAAGAGACAGGUAUGUGAGGUAGAGGUUACUCUGGGAGGCCAUAAGCUUUCCUAAAAAGAUGGGUUUUGAGGCACUUCUUAAACGAUUGAAGACUAGGGGAGAGUCUGAUGGGGUAGGCAGGCUAUUCCAUAGGAAGGGAGCCGCCCAUGAGAAGUCCUGCAAGCGUAAGUUGGAUGUACGGGUGCGACCAGCGUUUAGGAGGUUGUCACAGGCCGAGCGGAGGGAACGAGAGGGGGUAUACCUAUGGAUCUGUGAAGAGAGAUAAUAGAGGCUUGAAUUGUUCAGUGCUUUAUAUGUAUGAGUUAGCCCUUUGAAUUGACUCCUAUAGGAUACAGGAAGCCAAUGUAAGGACUGACAGAGGGGUGAGGUGUGAGAGUACUGACUAGAGAGGAAUAUCAGUCUGGUGGCGGCAUUCAUUACAGCCUGUAGCGGGGCAAUACGGCUUUUGGGAAGACCAAUCAGAAAAGGGUUCCAAUAAUCCAUGCAGGAAAUUACUAGAGCAUGGACAAACUCCUUGGUAGCAUCUUUUGUAAGAAAGGGGCCGAUGCGGGCUACUGCAUCGUUACAUUGAUUUUGACAUUUGCAUGUUUAUAUUUGUCAUCUGGGAUAUUAAGUAGUCGGCAGACAUGGUAGAAAUGCCUUGCCUCCAAACCAAUCUGUGAUGUAAAUUUUUGGUAGGUUAAAAUCUUAGAGACACGAUGAUACAACCACCAUUAUGAUAGAUUGAGUAAGUCAAUGCAGGUGAUAGUCUUGCUUUACUUAAUUUAUUUACUUUUAGCAAGUAGUAAUGAAACCUGCAAAUAAUGUCUUGAGAUCAGGCUUGUGGUUUAGGCUGAAGCACCCUAUGUGUUCUGUCAUGGGCAUGCUGCCAGAGUUGUCCACAUUAUCUAAAUAGUGAUCUAAAAGUGUUAUUUAGUGUGCUCUUGGCUUAAUUGAUUGUCGUUACCAUACAGAUUUAGAAUUUGUGAUCCAAAUUGCAGGUGUCCUUGUUGAUAUCAAUCAGCGUUGUUUUAAACAAAUUCUUGGAUUUUGCUAACAUGAAAUCUCUGGCAGAUUUGGACAGGACCUGUUUAAGAAGAUCCCAAAGUUCUGUCAAUUUGGCAGUGGAGGUUUCUGUAGGAAAUGGGCUUCUGGUGAUUCCAGGGUCAAGUAGACUGUGGUUGUUACAUUGGAAGUGGAGGCCUAGCUAGGUCCUGAAAUUUUGUCCAUGUAAUAUUUGCUUGGAAGCACCAAUUGUGUGAUUGUUGCACUCGGCUGAGAAGUGCAGGUGUUAUCUGUUCAUCCACUUGUGUUUUCAGCCAUGCCCCAUCUCAAGUUCCCCUAUCUUUGUCUGCCUUUCCAUUUUCUUCUUACUCCUGUGUCUCCAACCUUCUUCCGACAUUCCAUGUCUUUUUUCUUGCCUCUCUGAUGUCAGUCCUCACCAAUUAGUGUGUCUUUACCCAUUCUUCUGAAAUAGGGAACUAGUAGACAUCUGGCUGUGCUCCUUUCUGUGUCAAGCCUUAUCACUAAAGUGCUGGUCACAUGGUGCUGCAUAGCUUAAAAUGAGCGUUCAUAUGAUAUCACAUCAUGUAUCUUCCACAAGCAUAGCUAUGCAGCCAGAAACAACAUUGAUGAGUACUGUCAUGGAAAGGAGUAAAAUCAGACCUGUUUAGCGAUUGUACAUGCAUUGUCUUGUGUUGUAUGUUUAAAGGGACACUAUAGUCACCUGAAC